AUUGAACGCUGGCGGCAGGCCUAACACAUGCACGUCGAACGAGUGGCGGACGGGUGCGUAAUGUCUGGGAAACUGCCUGAUGGAGGGGGAUAACUACUGGAAACGGUAGCUAAUACCGCAUACCAUCAGAUGUGCCCAGAUGGGAUUAGCUAGUUGGUGGGGUAACGGCUGACCAAGGCGACGAUCCCUAGCUGGUCUGAGAGGAUGACCAGCCACACUGGAACUGAGACACGGUCCAGACUCCUACGGGAGGCAGCAGUGGGGAAUAUUGAACAAUGGGCGAAAGCCUGAUGGAGCCAUGCCGCGUGUAUGAAGAAGGACUUCGGAUUGUAAAGUACUGUCAGCGGGGAGGCGUUACCCGCAGAAGAAGCACCGGCUAACUACGUGCCAGCAGCCGCGGUAAUAC
rnacentral:rRNA from 1 species